rnacentral:lncRNA from 1 species
AUGAACUGUCUAACAACUUGAAAUUUCAUCGUUAACAACUUUUUAAUCUUUGAAUAGGAUACUUCUUAAAAGAAAACUUCUUGGUGUAAAUGAAUUUUAUUUAUUACAAAAUUGUGGUGCAUUUUAAGUUGUAUGAAUGAAUUGUUGAUGUAAAUUUUAUUCAGGAAUGAUAUUUCAUUGUGUUCAUCAUGGUAGGUGUUUCCAUGUGAACACCUUUGAAUAUAUUUUCUAUUUGAUUUAAGAUAAUUUAUUCCAAUUGAAGUCUACAGCAGAUAAGAACAAGAAGUUAUAAGGAGAAUUUUAGCUUGUUCUAAUCUGAAGUAGAAUUAAAGAGGAAUAUGUUUAUCUUUAUAUUGAUUCUGUGUUACUGCAUUUAAAUUUGCAUGAAAAAUAGACAUACAGCUCAACCAAGUAUUACGAUCUCCAAUAUUUGUUAUAACUGUGGACGGUAGAACUGUGAAACAAACAUUUGUUUUAUGGGGUUUAUUUUCAUUUUGUUCUUUGGAAAUCUUCCGAACUUUUCAGAAAUACUUUGUCCUAAAGGAAAACAGAAAAAAAAAUUAAAAAUAAAUUUGUCCUAAAGGAAAUAUUCCCAAAAUUCAUCAGAGUAUUAACUUUUCAAUUUUUUUUUUUCAGUGAUCCACUUCCUUUGAAUUAUUAGAAUAAGCCGUAUCAAACUUUUAACCCUGAAAAAACAUGAGAAUGUCAAUACUAUAGUAAUGCUAUCUUCUAUCAAGCUAAUUAUACUUGGAUGAGCAGUUAUAAUAGAUUUAAUAGCCUUUCAGUAUGAUACUGUUAGACCUAUGUUUGCAAGUUUAAUUAUGAAAUGUUAUGAAAGGGACCCUCCCAGAUCAUAUUGUUGUCUAAUAUAAGUUCAUUGUCAAAUCUCAAAUAAAAUGUGAUCUGUAUAGUUGUGUUUCAAUUUGUUUAUAUUCACAAAUGUGC